rnacentral:rRNA from 1 species
CCUACGGGGGGCAGCAGUGAGGAAUAUUGGUCAAUGGUCGGGAGACUGAACCAGCCAAGCCGCGUGAGGGAGGAAGGUACAGAGUAUCGUAAACCUCUUUUGUCAGAGAACAAAGACUGGGACGCGUCCCCGGAUGAGUGUACCUGAAGAAAAAGCAUCGGCUAACUCCGUGCCAGCAGCCGCGGUAAUACGGAGGAUGCGAGCGUUAUCCGGAUUUAUUGGGUUUAAAGGGUGCGCAGGCGGUCUGUUAAGACAGCGAUCAAAGUCGGGGGCUCAACCCCGGAGCGCCGUUGAAACUGGCAGUCUCGAGUUGGAGAGAAGUAUGCAGAAUGCGCGGUGUAGCGGUGAAAUGCAUAGAUAUCACGCAGAACCCCGAUUGCGAAGGCAGCAUACCGGCACCCUACUGACGCUGAGGCACGAAAGUGCGGGGAUCAAACAGGAUUAGAUACCCCGGUAGUC